rnacentral:rRNA from 1 species
AACAGGAUUAGAUACCCUGGUAGUCCACGCCGUAAACGAUGUCGACUUGGAGGUUGUGCCCUUGAGGCGUGGCCUCCGGAGCUAACGCGUUAAGUCGACCGCCUGGGGAGUACGGCCGCAAGGUUAAAACUCAGAUGAAUUGACGGGGGCCCGCACAAGCGGUGGAGCAUGUGGUUUAAUUCGAUGCAACGCGAAGAACCUUACCUGGUCUUGACAUCCACGGAAGUUUUCAGAGAUGAGAAUGUGCCUUCGGGAACCGUGAGACAGGUGCUGCAUGGCUGUCGUCAGCUCGUGUUGUGAAAUGUUGGGUUAAGUCCCGCAACGAGCGCAACCCUUAUCCUUUGUUGCCAGCGGUCCGGCCGGGAACUCAAAGGAGACUGCCAGUGAUAAACUGGAGGAAGGUGGGGAUGACGUCAAGUCAUCAUGGCCCUUACGACCAGGGCUACACACGUGCUACAAUGGCGCAUACAAAGAGAAGCGACCUCGCGAGAGCAAGCGGACCUCAUAAAGUGCGUCGUAGUCCGGAUUGGAGUCUGCAACUCGACUCCAUGAAGUCGGAAUCGCUAGUAAUCGUGGAUCAGAAUGCUACGGUGAAUACGUUCCCGGGCCUUGUACACACCGCCCGUCACACCAUGGGAGUGGGUUGCAAAAGAAGUAGGUAGCUUAACCUUCGGGAGGGCGCUUACCACUUUGUGAUUCAUGACUGGGGUGAAGUCGUAACAAGGUAACC